GAUGAACGCUAGCGGCAGGCUUAAUACAUGCAAGUCGUGGGGCAGCAUGAAUGUAGCAAUACAUUUGAUGGCGACCGGCAAACGGGUGCGGAACACGUACACAACCUUCCUAUAAGUGGGGAAUAGCCCAGAGAAAUUUGGAUUAAUACCCCGUAACAUAACGAUGUGGCAUCACAUUGUUAUGAUAGCUUCGGCGCGUAUUGAUGGGUGUGCGGCUGAUUAGAUAGUUGGCGGGGUAACGGCCCACCAAGUCUACGAUCAGUAGCUGAUGUGAGAGCAUGAUCAGCCACACGGGCACUGAGACACGGGCCCGACUCCUACGGGAGGCAGCAGUAAGGAAUAUUGGUCAAUGGACGCAAGUCUGAACCAGCCAUGCCGCGUGAAGGAUUAAGGUCCUCUGGAUUGUAAACUUCUUUUAUCUGGGACGAAAAAAGGCUAUUCUUAGUCACUUGACGGUACCAGAUGAAUAAGCACCGGCUAACUCCGUGCCAGCCGCCGCCGUAAAAC
rnacentral:rRNA from 1 species